AUUGAACGCUGGCGGCAUGCCUUACACAUGCAAAUCGAACGGUAACGGGCCUUCGGGUGCCGACGAGUGGCGAACGGGUGAGUAAUACAUCGGAACGUGCCCGAUCGUGGGGGAUAACGAGGCGAAAGCUUUGCUAAUAUCGCAUACGAUCUACGGAUGAAAGCAGGGGACCGCAAGGCCUUGCGCGGACGGAGCGGCCGAUGGCAGAUUAGGUAGUUGGUGGGAUAAAAGCUUACCAAGCCGACGAUCUGUAGCUGGUCUGAGAGGAUGAUCAGCCACACUGGGACUGAGACACGGCCCAGACUCCUACGGGAGGCAGCAGUGGGGAAUUUUGGACAAUGGGCGCAAGCCUGAUCCAGCCAUGCCGCGUGCAGGAUGAAGGCCUUCGGGUUGUAAACUGAUUUUGUACGGAACGAAAAGCCUUCUUUUAAUACAGGAGGGUCAUGACGGUACCGUAAGAAUAAGCACCGGCUAACUACGUG
rnacentral:rRNA from 1 species